CACAUCUUUUUAAGCUAUAAUUUCAAAAGUUUUGUUUUUUGUUUUGUUUUGUUUGUUUUUUUGGUAUGGUUUGUGUGUGUAUGUGUGUGUGUUUAAGGGUUUAAGUGUGUAAUACUAUUUCCCUAUGUUUCAUUGGUCCCUUUCUUUUUAUUUAGGUGAACUGAGAAAAGUGGCUUCAUUAAGACAAUGAAAGGCAUUGUGGAUUAAAGAUUCAUACCUAUUCUAUGAAUGAUCAAUGAAAGGUUGGCUACAGUUCACUUAUGGGAGAUUUGAGGUUUUGAUUACUGAACAUUGGUCAUCAAUUCUGGUGUUUAUCCAAAUGACCCAUCGACCUCUUUCGAAAAUCUCUAUGUCUGGCCAUUCUCCUGAGAUGAACUUAAGAAAAGCCUGCACACCAUCAGGAGGAGUCAAGAUGGUGGAGAAGUAGCAGGCUGAGACUGCUUCAGCUAGCCGGAGAUCAGCUAGAUAGCUAAUCUAAAGAAUGCAAACACCUGAAAAUCCAUGGCAGAUUGAAGAGAAGAAGAACAGCAAUUCGGGAAACAGAAAAACAACCACUUUCU
rnacentral:lncRNA from 1 species